rnacentral:rRNA from 1 species
GGCCAUGUUGGUUAACAGAUCCUCAUCUGCUGGACGUCUGGCGAUGAUCUUUAUCGGUUGUCGUCAGUUGCCAGCACGUUUACUUUGAGAAAAUUAGAGUGCUAAAAGCAGGCUCACGCCUAUAUAUAUUGCAUGGAAUAAUGAAAUAAGAUCUCGAUUUUAUUUCGUUGGUUUUAGAAAUUGAGAUAAUGAUUAAUAGGAUCAGAGGGGGGCGUACGUACUGUGGUGUGAGAGGUGAAAUUCUUGGAUCGCCACAGGACGAACAGCAGCGAAGGCGUUCGCCAAGAAUGUUUUCAUUAAUCAAGAACGAAAGUUUGAGGUUCGAAGACGAUUAGAUACCGUCCUAGUUCAAACCAUAAACGUUGCCAACUGUCUUUUAGAUGCGGUUAUUUAUAUGACUCAUCUGGCGGAUCUCGAGAAAUCUAAGUUUUUAGGUUUCGGGGGAAGUAUGGUUGCAAAGCUGAAACUUAAAAGAAUUGACGGAAGGACACACAAGAAGUGGAGCCUGUGGCCUAAUUUGACUCAACACGGGAAACCUUACUCGGCCAGGACACUUUUAGGAUUGACAGAUUGAGAGCUCUUUCUUGAUUAGGUGGGUGGUGGUGCAUGGUCGUUCGUAGUUCGUGGAGCGAUUUGUCUGAUUAAUUUCGAUAACGAACGAGACUCCGGCUUACUAAAUAGUCUAAAGUUCGAAGGGACUUUUCAAGACUUCUUAGCAGGAUAAGUGG